rnacentral:rRNA from 1 species
UACAGAGGUCUCGAGCGUUAGGCGGAAUCACUGGGCUCAAAGCGUGUGUAGGCGGAUCGUUAAGUGCCUUGUGAAAUCCCACGGCUCAACCGUGGAACUGCUUGGCAUACUGGCGGUCUUGAGCAACCUAGGGGCGAGCGGAACAAAUGGUGGAGCGGUGAAAUGCGUAGAUAUCAUUUGGAACGCCAAUGGUGAAAACAGCUCGCUGGGGGUUUGCUGACGCUGAGACACGAAAGCCAGGGGAGCAAACGGG